CACGUAGGGCGCAAGCGUUGUCCGGAAUUAUUGGGCGUAAAGAGCUCGUAGGCGGUCUGUCGCGUCUGCUGUGAAAACUCGGGGCUUAACCCCGGGCCUGCAGUGGGUACGGGCAGACUAGAGUGCGGUAGGGGAGACUGGAAUUCCUGGUGUAGCGGUGAAAUGCGUAGAUAUCAGGAGGAACACCGAUGGCGAAGGCAGGUCUCUGGGCCACUACUGACGCUGAGAAGCGAAAGCAUGGGGAGCGAACAGG
rnacentral:rRNA from 1 species